UACCAGCACCCCGAGUGGUCGGGACGAUUAUUGGGCCUAAAGCAUCCGUAGCCGGUCAUGCAAGUCUUCCGUUAAAUCCAGCCGCUCAAUGGUUGGGCUGCGGAGGAUACUACGUGGCUAGGAGGCGGGAGAGGCAAGCGGUACUCAGUGGGUAGGGGUAAAAUCCUUUGAUCCAUUGAAGACCACCAGUGGCGAAGGCGGCUUGCCAGAACGCGCUCGACGGUGAGGGAUGAAAGCUGGGGGAGCAAACCGG
rnacentral:rRNA from 1 species